rnacentral:rRNA from 1 species
UACGUAGGGUGCGAGCGUUGUCCGGAAUUAUUGGGCGUAAAGAGCUUGUAGGCGGUCUGUCGCGUCUGCUGUGAAAAUCCGGGGCUCAACCCCGGACUUGCAGUGGGGUACGGGCAGACUAGAGUGUGGUAGGGGAGACUGGAAUUCCUGGUGUAGCGGUGAAAUGCGCAGAUAUCAGGAGGAACACCCGAUGGGCGAAG